GAUGAACGCUGGCGGCGUGUCUAAUACAUGCAAGUCGAGCGAACAGACGAGGAGCUUGCUCCUUUGAUGUUAGCGGCGGACGGGUGAGUAACACGUAGGUAACCUACCUAUAAGACUGGGAUAACUUCGGGAAACCGGAGCUAAUACCGGAUAAUAUUUCGAACCGCAUGGUUCGAUAGUGAAAGAUGGCUUUGCUAUCACUUAUAGAUGGACCUGCGCCGUAUUAGCUAGUUGGUAAGGUAACGGCUUACCAAGGCAACGAUACGUAGCCGACCUGAGAGGGUGAUCGGCCACACUGGAACUGAGACACGGUCCAGACUCCUACGGGGGGCAGAAGUAGGGAAUCUUCCGCAAUGGGCGAAAGCCUGACGGAGCAACGCCGCGUGAGUGAUGAAGGUCUUCGGAUCGUAAAACUCUGUUAUUAGGGAAGAACAAACGUGUAAGUAACUGUGCACGUCUUGACGGUACCUGAGGAGGAAGCCACGGCUAACUACGUGCCAGCCGCCGCGGUAA
rnacentral:rRNA from 1 species